CUAACAAUAAACCGUCUGUUUCUGGAGCCAGCCGCUCGUUUUUCCUUCUGGGUAGAUGCGUUUAUUUGUGCGAUCGGGAUCGUUUUCCUUAGGAGCAGCAGUGCUUUUGUAAAUACUUUAUGUUCGUGGAUAAAGCAACAUUUGGCGGUUGUGGAAGGGAGCUGGGCGAUGGGUGCAGCAGUGCCUGCUCCUCAUGCGCUCCUGCUAUCAGCUGCAGAGUUCUCUCACGGAUAAUAACGCCAUAACGCAUUAAUAUAAAAGCGGGGCAGAGCCCUAUGGCGAACGUUUAAACGUAUUCGGAAUUACUAUUAACACCGGGGGAAGGAAGGAGGUGUUGAGGCCUGUUCUGUUUCCCAGCUCCUUGUGCAGCUCGGGGCUUGCUAACGCCGAGCUGAGGGGCAGAGGGCCGCCGGAGCUGUGCCCGGGCACGGCUGCCAGCCUUUGCCGAACGCCUGUGCCUGCGAGGGGGAGUGGGGCAGAGCCGGGAAGAUGGCGCUGUCUGGCUUCCUGCCAGCGUUUGUUGCGCAGUUUCGCGGUGAUUCUCCUCCCCCACGGGCGCCAUUUUAAGGCCCUCGCUGCUGUCGCUGAGCCGGGUGGGGCGUUGCCUUCGCGUCUGUGUCGGGCGGUCUGUGAAGGAAGCGUUGUUUUCCCGGGCAGACAGAAGCUCCCCUACGUAUCGUAGCCGCGAGUUUUCUUUUCUCCUUGAGAAAGCGGUGUGCGAGGUUCUCUCUGUGCGCUGUGGGGAGAGAGGCGAGGGACUGUUGGCUGCUCUGUGCCCAGGGGUGCUCCUGCCCUCCUUUGUACAAGCAGCUCCCGUCUCUGUCACCCAUGUCUCACGUCUCAGAGGUCUCUGCACCAAGCAUCACCCCAUAGCUGCUUUUCGUACCUAUCAAACGCAUGUUUCUUGGCACGAGCAACAUCUGUAUCCAGGAACAGCAAGGAUGCUACCAGACCAACUUACGCUGAGCCCACUAAGUUGUCAUGGAUGAUGACGAUGAUGAAUCCUGUCUCCUUGAUCUUAUUGGCAAUUACUGUCGUAAGCAUCUAGAAGAAUGGAGAACAGCAUCUUUGGUUUUUGGUAAGUGCCUUCUAAAAUUCCCUAGUUACUAAAUUCAGUAUUUAAGGCGAUGAAAUAUUCUCCCUUUUUAAUUGUGUGUUUUAUGACUUAAAGCCAGUGAGUGAAGUUAAUAUUAAAUGGCUUGAUAAUGUAUCAGUAAAAUAAGCGUGACAGAGCUCGUGAUCUCAUACAGUGAUCUUUCUCCUAAA
rnacentral:lncRNA from 1 species